rnacentral:rRNA from 1 species
CCUACGGGUGGCAGCAGUGAGGAAUAUUGGUCAAUGGCCGGAAGGCUGAACCAGCCAAGUCGCGUGAGGGACGACUGCCCUAUGUGUUGUAAGCCUCUUUUAUAAGGGAGAAAUAAAUGCUACGUGUAGCAUGAUGCCUGUACCUUCUGAAUACGCAUCGGCUAACUCCGUGCCAGCAGCCGCGGUAAUCCGGAGUGUGCGAGUGUUAUCCGGAUUUAUUGGGUUUAAAGGGUGCGUAGGCGGUUUUUUAAGUUAGUGGUUAAACGUCGGGGCUUCACCUUGAUUUGCCAUUAAUACUGUAAGACUGGAGUGCAGAAGAGGUAGGCGGAAUAAGUUAAGUAGCGGUGAAAUGCUUAGAUAUAACUUAGAACUCCGAUAGCGAAGGCAGCUUACCAGACUGCGACUGACGCUGAAGCACGAGAGCGUGGGUAGCGAACAGGAUUAGAUACCCCUGUAGUC